CCAAAAGUUUUUUUAAAAACUACUUAAAAUAGUUAAUGGGAUUUACG
rfam:Capsicum annuum cultivar Zunla-1 unplaced genomic scaffold scaffold53, whole genome shotgun sequence